GUGGGUAGUUUGACUGGGGCGGUCUCCUCCUAAAGAGUAACGGAGGAGCACGAAGGUUGGCUAAUCCUGGUCGGACAUCAGGAGGUUAGUGCAAUGGCAUAAGCCAGCUUGACUGCGAGCGUGACGGCGCGAGCAGGUGCGAAAGCAGGUCAUAGUGAUCCGGUGGUUCUGAAUGGAAGGGCCAUCGCUCAACGGAUAAAAGGUACUCCGGGGAUAACAGGCUGAUACCGCCCAAGAGUUCAUAUCGACGGCGGUGUUUGGCACCUCGAUGUCGGCUCAUCACAUCCUGGGGCUGAAGUAGGUCCCAAGGGUAUGGCUGUUCGCCAUUUAAAGUGGUACGCGAGCUGGGUUUAGAACGUCGUGAGACAGUUCGGUCCCUAUCUGCCGUGGGCGCUGGAGAACUGAGGGGGGCUGCUCCUAGUACGAGAGGACCGGAGUGGACGCAUCACUGGUGUUCGGGUUGUCAUGCCAAUGGCACUGCCCGGUAGCUAAAUGCGGAAGAGAUAAGUGCUGAAAGCAUCUAAGCACGAAACUUGCCCCGAGAUGAGUUCUCCCUGAGACUUAAAGUCUCCUGAAGGAACGUUGAAGACGACGACGUUGAUAGGCCGGGUGUGUAAGCGCAGCGAUGCG
rnacentral:rRNA from 1 species